AUGGAACUGACUUUCAUACUGAAUAUAGAAGUAAUCAAGAUUAGCAUCUUACAACUAAUUUCACAAGUUUUUUUCCUAAUCUUCCUUACAAGAAAAACUUUUCCAAGAUAUUCAAAUUAUAUGGCUCCCCAAAAGAAAGUUUGCUUUUUAAUGAACUGUACAGUAUGUUCUCAUUCAAAUUCACAAGGGAUGGUUAGCUCCAUAUGUCAGUGGUGUCAAGUCACCAACCUAUAUAAGGGAAGAUGA